GAAGCUUGUAAGCUCGUGUGGCCCAGCGCCAUUCAGAGGCAUGCAAACCGUUGGCGCAGGCCGAACGUCUUGUUUGCUUUCCCACACAGUUCACGGCCUUUUAGCACGUUACACGCACAAAGCUGCACAUGUGCAAGCAGCUCGUAAAACACUGCAGCUGCUUUUUCUCCACAGCUGCACGGGCACAAUGGAAGGAGAGCAAAGCGCUCUCACUUUUAAAAAGAGCAAACGCUGACCACGACGGCGCUUGUCCUACGAGAGUCAACCUCUGUGGUUGGCAGCCUUUUGUAUUUAUUAUGUUUUUUUUUUUUUCUUUACACAAAAACUUGCUGAGAGGAGCGGCUAAACUUGGCAACAGGUUCAGUCCAGUCAUUUCCUGUAUGCUAACCAUCAGAAAGCAGGAGUCCGCGGGUAUAACUACAUGCGUUUGGGUAUUCAGUAGAUAUGUAGCCACUGAAUCCAGACAUGUUCAUUUAAGGCUGGGUCCAAAGCGGCGCGAGGCGACGCGUCUGACCGCAGGUUUUGGGGAAGGCAGUCUGGUCACGUGAAGGUGACUCAAAGCAGAGCACAUUUUCUUUUUGCUGAGGAGGCCAUAAAUCCUGUCAGCUCACAUUGCUGCGUUUACAUUCUUAGCAUUGCUGAUUUUUUUUUGCACCGAGGCAUUUAGGGGGAUCGACGGGGGGGAAAGCCGACCGGACUGGACUGCCAGUCGGCGUUAGCGUGGAACGCUGCAGUCAACGCCGACAGAGGCGAAGCAAAUGUCUAAACGCCAACGACUAAAAGGCUAAGGUUUGGGAAUAUUGAUGAGAAGCUAAUGACUUCUUCCAGAGGAGCCGAGGGACGCCAGAAGGCAUUACACGUUUCAUAAGAUUAACUAUGAGUAAGCUGCGAAUCAGCUGUGAGCCGUCUGCUAACGCUGUCUGCUGAUGCAGACAGAGUCGCAUGGCGCAACCUGAGUGGAUCAACCAGCACACAUCCCCAAAACAAGGCCCGCCAUAUUUCCCACUGCCCUACCGCAACAGCAUCUCCCCGCGCAUUUUAAUGUAAAAAA